UGAGACAGCCACAGCCAUAUGACACUACAGCCCUUAAUCACGGAAGCUAAGCAGGACUGAGCCUGGUCAGUACCUGAAUUGGAGACCACAUGAGAAAACUAGGUUGCUGUUGAAA
rnacentral:rRNA from 1 species